CAAGUCGAACGAUGACUUUUGUGCUUGCACAAAAUAAUUAGUGGCGAACGUGUGAGUAACACGUGAGUAACCUGCCCUUAACUUCGGGAUAAGCCUGGGAAACCGGGUCUAAUACCGGAUACAACGGAGCACCGCAUGGUGGUCCGUGGAAAGCUUUAUGCGGUUUUGGAUGGACUCGCGGCCUAUCAGCUAGUUGGUUGGGAACUGCCCACCAAGGCGACGACGGGUUGCCGGCCUGAGAGGGUGACCGGCCACACUGGGACUGAGACACGGCCCAGACUCCUACGGGAGGCAGCAGUGGGGAAUAUUGCACAAUGGGCGAAAGCCUGAUGCAGCGACGCCGCGUGAGGGACGAAGGCCUUCGGGUUGUGAACCUCUUUCAGCAGGGAAGAAGCGAAAGUGACGGUACCUGCAGAAGAAGCGCCGGCUAACUACGUGCCAGCAGCCGCGGUAAUACUUAGGGCGCAAGCGUUAUCCGGGCGCAAGCGUUAUCCGGAAUUAUUGGGCGUAAAGAGCUCGUAGGCGGUUUGUCGCGUCUGCCGUGAAAGUCCGGGGCUCAACCCCGGAUCUGCGGUGGGUACGGGCAGACUAGAGUGAUGUAGGGGAGACUGGAAUUCCUGGUGUAGCGGUGAAAUGCGCAGAUAUCAGGAGGAACACCGAUGGCGAAGGCAGGUCUCUGGGCAUUAACUGACGCUGAGGAGCGAAAGCAUGUGGAGCGAACAGGAUUAGAUACCAUGGUAGUCCAUGCUGUAAACGUUGGGCACUAGGUGUGGGGGACAUUCCACGUUAUCCGCGCCGUAGCUAACGCAUUAAGUGCCCGCCUGGGGAGUACGCGCAGCUAAACUCAAGAUUGACGGGGCCGCACAGCGCGGAGCAUGCGAUAUCGAUGCACGCGAGAUCUACUAGCUGACAUGACUGGGUAGUCCGCACCGAGCAACU
rnacentral:rRNA from 1 species